rnacentral:misc_RNA from 1 species
AACUAGCCCUGAUUGCAACGAAAAGCCCGGAAUGAGGCGUGAGCAAAGCGAACGCCGAAAUGAGGACUUGUAGUGGAAAGCAGGUUCCCGG